UACGAAGGGGGCUAGCGUUGCUCGGAAUGACUGGGCGUAAAGGGCUCGUAGGCGGCCAACUAAGUCAGACGUGAAAUCCCUCGGCUUAACCGGGGAACUGCGUCUGAUACUGGAUGGCUUGAGUUCGGGAGAGGGAUGCGGAAUUCCAGGUGUAGCGGUGAAAUGCGUAGAUAUCUGGAGGAACACCGGUGGCGAAGGCGGCAUCCUGGACCGAUACUGACGCUGAGGAGCGAAAGCCAGGGGAGCAAACGGG
rnacentral:rRNA from 1 species